rnacentral:snRNA from 1 species
AUUGCUUCUUGGCCUUUUGGCUAAGAUCAAGUGUAGAUUCCACAUAUAAGUGAGAUCAUACAUAUUUGUCUUUCUCUGUCUAACGUUUCACUUAGCAUAAUUACCUUGAGGUCUAUCCAUGUUGUUGCAAAUGGUAAGAUUUCUU